UACGUAGGGUGCGAGCGUUAAUCGGAAUUACUGGGCGUAAAGCGUGCGCAGGCGGCUUUGCAAGACAGAUGUGAAAUCCCCGGGCUCAACCUGGGAACUGCAUUUGUGACUGCAAGGCUAGAGUACGGCAGAGGGGGAUGGAAUUCCGCGUGUAGCAGUGAAAUGCGUAGAUAUGCGGAGGAACACCAAUGGCGAAGGCAAUCCCCUGGGCCUGUACUGACGCUGAGACGCGAAAGCGUGGGGAUCAAACAGG
rnacentral:rRNA from 1 species